GACGUAGGGGGCGAGCGUUGUCCGGAUUUAUUGGGCGUAAAGGGUUCCUAGGCGGCUGAGAUAGUCGGAUGUGAAAACCCCAGGCUUAACCUGGGGAGGCCAUUCGAUACUUCUCUAGCUAGAGUCCGGUAGGGGCGCAUGGAAUACCCGGUGUAGCGGUGAAAUGCUUAGAUAUCGGGUGGAACACCAGUGGCGAAGGCGGUGCGCUGGGCCGGAACUGACGCUGAAGAACGAAAGCGUGGGUAGCAAACAGG
rnacentral:rRNA from 1 species